rnacentral:rRNA from 1 species
UACGUAGGGUGCAAGCGUUAAUCGGAAUUACUGGGCGUAAAGCGUGCGCAGGCGGUUCUAUAAGACCGAUGUGAAAUCCCCGGGCUCAACCUGGGAACUGCAUUUGUGACUGUAGAGCUGGAGUACGGUAGAGGGGGAUGGAAUUCCGCGUGUAGCAGUGAAAUGCGUAGAUAUGCGGAGGAACACCGAUGGCGAAGGCAGCCCCCUGGGCUAACACUGACGCUCAGGCACGAAAGCGUGGGGAGCAAACAGG